rnacentral:rRNA from 1 species
GACGAACCGUGCGAACGUUAUUCGGAAUCACUGGGCUUAAAGGGCGCGUAGGCGGGCGACCAAGUCAGGGGUGAAAUCGUUCGGCCCAACCGGACAAGGGCCCCUGAUACUGGUUGUCUCGAGGGAGGUAGGGGUCGAUGGAACUUCCGGUGGAGCGGUGAAAUGCGUAGAUAUCGGAAGGAACGCCGGUGGCGAAAGCGACGUGCUGGAUACCUACUGACGCUGAGGCGCGAAAGCCAGGGGAGCAAACGGG